AACCAAGGGUGCUUGUACCUUCUAGCUACCAUUUUUACAAAGCUAUGAAUCAUCAAACUGCAUUCAACACCAUGAUCAUUCAUCAUGACAAUAUUGUCAGUCAUGGACCAACCACUGGGAUAUUUCGGUAACCACAAAUUAUUAUUCUCCUAAUUCUCAACUAUAUUAUUCACUUAAUGUAUUAUUAUUUUUUUCAAUCCUUCCAUUAUGUGCAUUACAUCUAAUGUCAUAACUUUUUACCCUCACAGGGACCCACCUCUGUCUUCAGAGAUGCAGGUUGAGACUGGUCAGUCUCCAGUGUCUCUUCACAGUGGUUUCUUGGAGACCAGUUAUCAAGACCUUCAGACUGGAUCUGAGGUUGACUUGGUUCAUCCAGGUUUGGUGGAAGCCAGGCCUCAUUCCUUUAAUGAAUCAGGUCAGUGCAAUGACAUUCACAACAACUACAAAUAUCAACAUCCAGAUGUGGUCAGAAUAUAAGUCUUUGAUGUACAUUGAUGUGUCUUGUAGCCCAGUGUGGAAAGUAUAGCAUUAAUGACUUACAUCAAUUUUAAUCUUUAUUAAGUCCUGAUAAUGAUCGCUAUUCACCACUCUUCAGGAAUGUGUAACUACGUAUAUAUCCAUAUCUCAAUAUCAUAUGUCCCCUUAGGCACUAGUAAGCCAGAAGUCAGCCUGGACCAGUCCAGGGAUCAAUUCAUUCAGGGAAUGACAAAGUCCAACGACUCUUCCCCCAUGGACACUGAAUCCAUUGUUGCCGUCCAAAACCUUAUGAAUGACGACUUUUCCAGCAACCACACUGGUUCCAUUAAGAGGCUUGCUGUAGUGCAGCAUUUCCUCACAACUUGUCAGCGGUUGAGGGACCUCUGUAAUGGAUGCUCAGGUUUCAGAGUGUCAUUCUUUGGCCGUCAACCUGAGUUGUCCUCUGCCAGGGUCGCAGUUUCCAGUGGUGUUCAAAGUUGUGGCAACAUCAAGGAUACAGGCACCUCAGGGUGUGCUGAUCUGACCACAGCCAUUGAUGCCAUGGACACUGUAAUGGGAAGGAUGGUCCUGAAUUUAGAUGAUGCUGCCGCUAUCAGGAUGAAGAUGGAGCAACUUCUGUCCAGUGGAACUUUGAGGCCACUGACAGACAUGCUGGUGAAUCGCCUUCGACACAUCAUUCCAGAGUAUGACUGCCCUCAAGAGAAGUUUGUGUAUGCCAUAGUGGAGAGGUCUUUGAAGACUUUCCUUGGCCAACUGCUGGAUGGCGUUGUUGCAGAGUUAAAUGGUGCUCCUGAGGAGGGCAUUCCCUCUUCAUCAACAUCCAUUUCUAAUACUGAGAUCCACAGUGGAGACUUAAGUCUUUUGACCACCGCGAUGACACAGUAUAUCAUGAACAAUGUGUCUGGCCGGCCAAGGGACUGCUCAGGCGACUAUCCACCCACCAGGGACUUUUCAUCCAGGAUCAGUGGAACAAGUGAUCAAGAUUCUGUGGAGAACUGCAAAGUCACUGCCUGCACAGAGUGCCCUGAGGGAAAGGAUUACUUUUCCCUAGUCAGUAUAGUGUUGGUACAGCUGAUGAGAAAGAUUGAACCCACCAUCGAGCACAUGGCUGAUUUCACAGCCUUCCACAGUGACCUCACUGAAAGGAUCCUCUCAGAGUUUUGCUCUACAUCAGGCCUUUCAAGAGAUAAGUCAAAUCCAGCUGUCAGGAUUCAGAAGAUGUGCAAUGAUAUCUACAACGAACUUCUAAAGAGCUUUCGCACCAAAGCUAUGGUCAGUGGGCUUUUGGCCUAUCGGCAGCCUGUGUUGAGCACAGUCCUGACCAAGUGUUUGGUGAAAGAGCUUCUCCGGGUGAGCCAGGAGGAGGUGGGUGCUGAGAGGACGGAAGGAGCCCAGAGGUUCAGCUUCCUCCACAGACUCAAAGCCUUCAAGACUCUCAUCCUCAAGGUGCAAUAGUUUAUAUAUUUCAUGACAGUAACAGAUGUUAAUAUAUCUCAAAUAUUCUUCAUAAAAUAUUUUCUCUAUGUAUCUUACGUGUAAUUUUGGUGACUAAUAGUAAUGUAAUCAAUACUUAAUCUCAAUACAGAGUAACAGCAGAGUUCAGCCCAUGUCCUCAGAAGUCACAGAUGCUGAGACUUCCUCUGAUGAAAAUGAGGGUAAGUGUUCUAGAAGAUUUUCCAGUCAACGAUAAUUUCACUCACGGAAAUACAUACUGAUUUAUUACAUAGCCGAUUGACUGAAGAAUAGUAGAGUAAUGAAAUGUCCUGUUCCUCCUCCUUGGAACUACAGGUCAAACUUCCACAGCGACACCAGAGGAAAAUCCCCCUGCGUCCUCCUCAUGUGACGGAGAAUCCCACAACCCAAACCUUUUCUCAAAGAUGCUGAAGACCAUCACCACAGUCCUGCAGUCCCGUGGGACUUCCACAACACCAUAGAGUAGCCUACAUCAGGAUUUAGGCUGGACAUAUCAUGACAGGAUUAUAGAUCUGUUAUCAGGUCACAUGGCCAAAAAAAAAAGGAAAGGCCCCAAUUAUUAUUAUCAUUAUGGAUCUGUUAUCAGGUCAUAUGGCCAAAACAAAAAAAUGGCCCCAAUUAUUAUUAUUAUUAUUAUUAUUAUCAUUCUUGUCAUUAUAAUUAUUAUUGCUGUUGUAUUAAUAAUAAAUCAAUAUCUAUUUUUGUAUUGCUACA
rnacentral:lncRNA from 1 species